ACUCCUACGGGAGGCAGCAGUGGGGAAUAUUGCACAAUGGGCGCAAGCCUGAUGCAGCCAUGCCGCGUGUAUGAAGAAGGCCUUCGGGUUGUAAAGUACUUUCAGCAGUGAGGAAGGCGGGUACGUUAAUAGCGUGCUUGUUUGACGUUAGCUGCAGAAGAAGCACCGGCUAACUCCGUGCCAGCAGCCGCGGUAAUACGGAGGGUGCGAGCGUUAAUCGGAAUUACUGGGCGUAAAGCGCAUGCAGGUGGUUUGUUAAGUCAGAUGUGAAAGCCCGGGGCUCAACCUCGGAAUUGCAUUUGAAACUGGCAGACUAGAGUACUGUAGAGGGGGGUAGAAUUUCAGGUGUAGCGGUGAAAUGCGUAGAGAUCUGAAGGAAUACCGGUGGCGAAGGCGGCCCCCUGGACAGAUACUGACACUCAGAUGCGAAAGCGUGGGGAGCAAACAGGAUUAGAUACCCU
rnacentral:rRNA from 1 species